CCUUGUCUUAAAAUCUACACUUUAUGUUAAUACAUAUGUUUUACGUUAACUUUUUUGUGGUUAGCCUUUGUGGUUUUUUUGGGGGGGCGUUGUUAUUGUUUUUAACUUUUAUUUAAUUUAUUUAAUUUAUUUUUGAGACUCACUCUCAUAAAUGGAAUGUAGUGGCGCGAUUUUGGCUCACAGCAACCUCUGCCUCCUGGGUUCAAACAAUUGUCAUGCCUCAGCCUCCUGAGUAACUGGGACUAUAGGGGUGGGCCACCACACCUGGCUAAUUUUUGUAUUUUUAGUAGAGACAGGGUUUCACCAUUUUGGCCAAGCCGGUCUUGAACUCCUGGUCGCAAGUGUUCCACCUGCCUCAGCCUUGCAAUGUUCUGGAAUUACAGGUAUGAGCCACCACACCCAGCCUAACCUUUGCUUUAUCCCUUUACUUUUCUUUUUUCUUUUUUUUUGAGACAGAAUCUCCCUCUGUCACCCAAGCUGGAGUGUGUGUGUGUGUGUGUGUGUAUGUGUGUGUGUGUGUUUUGACAGGGUCUUGCUCUGCCACCCAAGCUGGAGUGUGUGUGUGUGUGUGUGUGUGUGUGUGUUUUGACAGGGUCUUGCUCUGCCACCCAAGCUGGAGUGCAGUGGCCGUGAUCUUGGCUCACUACAGCUUGGACCUCCAGGGCUCAAGCAAUCCUUCAACAUCAUCCUGCCAAGUAGCGAGGACCACAGGUGUACACCACCACAUUUAGAAGUCCCUGAGAAAAUUAUCUUGGAAGAAAACUCGCAAGUCCGACUAUUGGUUUUCCAAGGAAGCCAGUCUCACCUGUGAGGAGGGAUCCUGCUCGCCCCAGGCGCCUACUCAGACACCAUGGGAAAUGGGGAGUGGGGCUCAGAGCGGGCAGGCUUUUUUUUUUCCCCUCCGAACUCCUGAGUUCCAGUUAUUUGCCUGACUCAGCCUCCCACAGUGCCGGGAUUACAGGUGUGAGCCACCGCACCUGGCAAAAAGGUGCUGAAUUUUGUCAAAUACUUUUUCUGUAUCAGUUAAGAUGAUUAUAGUUUUUUUUCCCUUCAUUCAGUUAAUGUGGUAUAUAUUGCAUUGACUUUUGUAUGCUGAAUCAUCCUCACAUUCCAGGAACAAAUCCUACUUGGUUAUGGUAUAUAAACCUUUCAAUACUUCGCUAAAUUCAGUUUGCCAGUAUUUUUUUGAGGAAUUUUGCGUGAAUAUUCAUAAGGGAUAUUGCUCAGUAAUUUUCAUUUUCUGUAAUGUCUCUGCCUAGCUUUGGUAUCAGGAUAAUGCUAGCCUCAUAAAAUGAGUCGUAAAUAUUCCCUCCUCUUUGAUUUUGUGGAAGAAUGUAAGAAAGAUUGGUGUUAAUUCUUUAAAUUUGGUAGAAUUCGAUAGUGAAGCCAUCUGGUUCUGGACUUUUCUUUGUUGGGAUAUUACUGAUUACUUCUUGAAUAUUUUUACUAGUUAUAGAUCUAUUCAGAUUUCUGUUUAUGAUUAAAUUUUGGUAGAUUGUGUGCUUUUAGGAGGUUGUCCACUUCAUCUAGGUUAUCCGAUUUGCUGGCAUGUAAUUGUCCAUAGUGUUCUUUAAUAAUCCUUUCUUCUGCCAAAUUGGUAGUAAUGCCUCCACUUAAAUUGCUGAGUUUAGUAAUCUGAAUCUUCUUUUU
rnacentral:lncRNA from 1 species